ensembl:lncRNA
GUGUAUACGAUAUGCUAUGUGCCCUUUUGUUGCCAACCAAAACCACAGCUGCAAAACUAUUCAAAUUUUUUAAUGAUUACGUAUCAGGAAAACUGAAUGGGUCAUUUUGAGUCGGUAUAUGCAUGGGUGGAGCAGCUGUCAUGACUGGAUGGCUUUCUGGUUUUACUACUUGAAUCAAACAGGUCGCUUCUGAAUGUGAGUCUGCACUGAGUUCACAAAGAAAUGGCUGGUGGGAAAAUGCCGCCUGAACUUAACAACAAUUUGUAGGAUGUGAUCAAAAUUAUCAACCACGUGAAAGUACAUGCCUUUAACUCACUACUGUUCUCCUAGCUCUGUGAGAAGAUGGAUGCAGAACACACAGGUCUUGUCUUCUACAAAGAAGUGAGAUGGCUUUCUAAAGGUAGAUCACUGACCAGAGUUUUUGCAUUACUAGAGCCAGUCCAGAGAUUUCUUUCAGAAAAACAAUCACCACUGGCAGCACACUUCAAUGACACAGAAGGGGUCACAAAACUUGCUUACCUGUGUGACAUAUUUAACUCGCUCAACAAACUCAAUCUGUCACUUCAGGGAAAAUGACAACUGUGUUCAAGUUGCAAAUAAAGUGGCCGCAUUCAAAAUUAAACUGGAAUUAUGGGGGCACCAAGUCAACACUGAGAUUUUGACAUGUUUCAAACAUCAGCAGAGAUUGAAAGAGACAGAGCCGGGGCCUUCUUUCUCCAAGCUGGUGCAUGAUCACCUAUUUCAGCUUUCAAAAGUGUUUGAGCAUUACUUCCCAACCACGAAAGACCUCCAAACUGGGAAGGAAUGGAUCCAUGACCUAUUUGUGAACAAGCCAGGUGAAUCAACUUUGUCCAUGCUCUAAGAGAAUCAACUGCUUAAAAUUGCAAAUGACGGUGGCCUUAAAAGUAUGAGACAACUUCAAAUCUCCAUAUAUUCUGGAUUAAAGUCAAGGCAAAAUAUCCUGAGAUUUCCACAAAAACACUGAAAAGCCUGUUUCCAUUUCCAACAUCCCAUCUUUGUGAAGCAGGAUUUUCUGCAGUGACAGCAACCAAGAUAAAAUUAGAAAGUAGACUGGAGAUGAAUAACACUUCAGGUGUCACUGUCUCCCAUCACCCUGAGAUGGGACCAUCUAGUUGAUAAAACAAACUCAGGGCUCCCAUUGAUUCUUCAUUAUGGUGACUGCCAUCUUGAAGUCACAAACUCGAGGACCCUUCCCUAGAGCUCAGCAGAACUGUGAGGUGGAAGAAGACCAGGUUCUGAACCACGGUGUGGGGCCACCUUACAGCCCUGGGCUGCUUACACCUCUCAUUACCUGAAAUAAAAUCACUGUCUUC